rnacentral:lncRNA from 8 species
ACAAUUAUCAUCAGAUAAACUCAGACUUGUCCAAUGUGGAAUUUAGAGCAUUUUUCGGGGAGAAAAAAGAGGUCUCCACAAAUCUGACUGGAUUCCAGGCAGCCGAGACCCCCUCGAAGUGGGAAUGAAAAGUGUAACCUCAGCCUCCCAGCUGUACGUCUCAAUCCAUAAUCCUUCCCAAAAAACCUCACCAGAGAGCCGCCCCGGCCGUCACUCCCAUGGCGUUCUCUGCCGGUGCCUGCUCAGAUUUAUGGGGCAGUCGGGUGUCAAACUCUCGACCUGAAAGGGAUUUGGGCUUUCUUAGUGGUUAGGGAGGUGGUCAGGGGAGUAAUGGUGGACUCUCUCUAAGCACCUAAUACCCAGUACUGGGCCUCUAGUCUGGCACACCCACCUUAUCCUGGUCUCAUACACCUCGGACACUCUGGACAUUACCGACAACGGCCCGGUCUGGCUCCGAUAGCCGCAGUGUGGAUGGCAGCAACACCAAGUUGGAGUCCCCUUACCGACGCCCACACAUCCACAUGCCACGCUCCGCCGUGCAGACACCCAGGCACAGGUAAGUCUGGCCCAGGUGCACCCCACAGUGCCCCUGUCCCUCACGGGCUCACCCCCUGGUCCUCAGGUCAGAACCGGGGCCCAGCAUGCAGCUGCAGCAGGUCACAGAGGGCCCCUGACAGGCCCCGACACCCCAGAGACGGGACUCCAGGCUUGCAUGCAGAGGAGUGUUUGAAGUGGGUCUGAGCAGAGCUAUUUUACUAUGCCUUUAAUUAGCUCCAGCAGCUGCUGCUUCCUGGUUGAAGGACCCCGGCACACUCCACCACUCCACUGUCUCCCUAAUGUCUUACAGGUGACUGUCAGAUGCACGUCAGCCUACCAGCCAUGCUGGACUUAGCCGUCUAACCCGCUCUCACUUAGAUUUUACUCUGUCAAGGGGCGGACUGCUUAGCUACACGAUGUUGCUGAGAGGAGUUGCUCCCUGACAUAGUCCCGCUUUGUUUUGUUUAGCGAGAAACAAAAUAGUGGACGCUCACAACUCUAGCUCAGUAACCAGAGCCAGGGUAAAAUUAUGCAAAUAUGUCUCCCAUCACCCACUACGUUCUUCUAGUUGCUCUUUUUUUAUCACUCUUUAGAAACAUUAACAGGUCUGAAGAAAAGGUAAAAAGCAGGGAGAGCUUUCUUCUGAUGACAGUAAAUGUUCCACUCUGCGUUGCUUGUCUGUGUUUUACGCUCUGACAAAGAGUUCCUAACUGUUGGAAAUUGCCCUCUGAGGACUGACAGCUGGAAAUUGAUCUCAGAUUAGAAGCAAGAACCUCUCUCUCUCCCUGCUCUCCUUUGUCACUCCCAAGUUGGCAGAUCUCUCCUUAAAAACUCUACCAGAGAUGAAAAAAGAGAGAGACUUCACAGUUGGCUCUGGAAUACUAAUACCCUGGACUCAUUAUAUUAAUGGGGUCCAGAUUCCCAUCAUUGAGCAUGCACCAAUACCCUUUCAGUUUGCCGGGGUUAGAGGGUGCCCAGUACUUUGAAAGCCCUGACCUGCAUAUUGAACGCGUUUUAAUAGAACCCUUUGGAGGCUCCUGGUAGGAUAUGCAGUAACUCCUCGCCUUUACGUUCCUGCACCCUCUCCGUGUGAUCUCAUCAGAUAGCCGCUUCAGUCUCGGAUAUGACCCGGUCCCAGGGGGGAGGGAUAUGCAGGCAAGGCAAAUUAGACCAGCGGUGUCUGUAUCUCAGCCAAAGCCAUUCUUUCCUGGUGACGGGAGUCCAUAAAGAGGUGCAUUGCUUUGAAGUGGAAAGGUGCCCGGUGUAAUACUCUGAAAAAGGAGGUUUUGGGAGAGAUUCGGUGGGAUUCCCUUCAGGGAACAGCGGGGGAGUCUGGCCUCUCGUUGGUCAAUCGUGAAUACAGUGCUGAUUUAAUUACACUGCUGUCAGAUGGUCAUUGAACGCCUACUGUACAGACCAGGGGGGACACCGUAUAUGACCGUUGUGAUUGUCAUCGCCCAUUCAACGUGAAGACACCAAGCCAAAUCAACCCACAAUAAAGGGUGAGCGUCAAGAAUGCAGACAGGGGUUCAUAAAGAGGGAUCUAUGGGAAACAAUGGUGGAAAC